CGCUGUAGCUCAGCUGGUUAGAGCGCCUGAUUGUGGAUCAGGAGGUCCCUGGUUCGAAUCCAGGCA
rnacentral:tRNA from 1 species